CGAGCCGCCAUGCACGGGCUGGGUCCCACCGAGAGAUGGAGCCGCCUCCAGUUAGCACCGCCCCCCGUAGUACUUUUCCUCUCGCGUCACGCGACCUCCCCCUUUCUUCGAUUCUGGCCCGGCGGCGCCUCCUCGCGUCUCCUCCAGCCCGUGCCUUCUCUUCUCCCCUUUGGCCCUUUCCCACAAGCAGUCCUCGUCGCCGGAUCCGUCGCCGGAAGAGGAGGGGAGAGAAUGGUGGGUCCAGUCCUUGCGGCCGUCAUCCUCGGUGAUGAAGGCGCCCAUGUCCUUUCGGCGGCGAUGCAGUGGGGCGAGUUCCCGGUGAUGAGAUGAUGUGGUGCGAAGGGGGUGGCGCGACGGCGGUAGGGAAGCAGCGGUGGUGCAGCUAAGCGGGUUGCUGGUGGGGCGGCCAGGGGGGCGGCUGGGUGGUGAAACCCUAGCAGGGAGGCAUGGAGGCUUGUCCCUAAGCAUCGGCACCUGCUGGUUACCUCCCCCGCUGCCGCCAAACAAUCCACCACCGCGGGGGAAGAGAGAGUGUGUCCUUUCCUCCCUCGUUUUUUAUGCAUAUAUUCUCUAUUCUUGUUUCUCAUCCGUGCGUAGGUGGAUCAGAUGCUGCGCGUGGUAGUCUCGGUUGGGGCUUCACAUGCAACGUGCACCUGGUUCGCAACAUCAUUUACGGUGGCAGCUCUAGAAUUUGAUCAUGAUUGUCCAGGAUUUUCCACUACACGAUGGUCUGCAUUUCUUAGUUUUCAUCCAUUCAAGUUUUCUCUCAGGAGAGUGAAAUUUAUGCAGGUUUGUACGUUGGUCACAGAUUUGAUGUCAUUGACGCUAUAGUUUUUACAUAUUUGGGGAUAGGUUGCUUCUCUAGACAUGAUAGUUUGAUUCUGCAUCAUCACUUGACCUCCUGCAUAUUGGAUUUACAGGAUAAGCUUAUAAAUGUUGGAUUUAUGCAGACAUUAGUUGAGGUUAGAUAACCUACAUUUCAUCUUAUAUUUCCUAUUUGAAAAUCUUUGUUUUACUUACGAUGAUUACCACAUAUCUAAUUUUUCGUUGUUGAUCCAUAUUUUCGUAGUUGAGACCAAUUCAUCAAACCCUCUGAGUAAGAAGUUAAGAAAUACUCUGUGUGUAUUUAAUGUUACUCCCAAAAAUAAUCAUGUUCCAUCAAAAUGCAAUAUCCACCGAAUUCUAUGUUAUUUUUCUCUAUCUAGACUUGAUCAGUCAUAUGUCUUGUUUUCCAUUUUCUUCCUAUAUGAAUAUGCAUACAAGGGUACCUCAUGCAAUGAAAGUUAAUUAUAUUUUCUAUUUCAUUGUGAGAGGGACAAAGUUAAUUAGUUUUACUGUUAAAUAGUAGCUCACGCUGCCUCUCGUUAUGGUGUGGUGUUGUAGGUCGGGAGAGUGUAAUUUAGUUUAAGCUAAGUUCAGGGUGAACCAUAUUUAAAUUUCAGGUUUACAAAUCACAACUAUAGUUUGUAGUCUACGCAGUUGUGGAGAGAUGGGCAAGAAAAAAUUGCAUAUCAGUCUGAACUUAUAGGAAUGUUGAUGCCCGUCGGUCACAAAAAAGAGUUGAGUGAUAUCAAGUAGGGUCAUUUAUUUUGUCCGAAUUUUCAUGUGUAACCUGAUAUAUAUUAUUGAGGCAUAUUAAUCUGUAUACUAAAUUUUCAAGAUGCAUCCUUGAAUAUUAGACACAAGGUUUGUUGGAUGUCUGCUAUCUUUAGAUUCUUGCAACCUUUCCGUCAAUCUUUUUUUAAGGUGUAUGCAUAUUUAUUAGGACAUUCAUCUGAUGGUAUUACGAUAUUUGUCGUGUACGCAUCGCUGAUGACACAGACAGCUGCGACAUCCAUAUUUUCGACGGGUCAGCAUUGGCACGACACCUAGGCCUUGGAGAUUAAUGACGAUGAGGAAUAGAUCAGAUUUCUGAAGACUUAAGAGACUUUGGUAUCUAUCAAAGUUACACGAUGUAAUUGUUUCUCGCUAUGUGUGAGGAUAGACAAAAGUUUCCUGCAUGAAGUGAAUUUCCCAGUUUUCUAUGGAGCAAAGUGGAAGCAUGGGCUGACCUUGAUAAAGUGAAAUUGUUUACCACUGCAGAAGGUGGUUUAUCUUCCUAAUUCAGGAUUUGUGCCAUUGCCAUCGUUCUGCUUCUUUAAUCUAUCACUAUGAAAGAUAUGGCUUCCCUCCCCAUAAUUUAUACAGAUGGUUUUCAUACUGAUUUACUUUCUUUCGGUUACGACUCUGAUAUUUGAGCUGUUUUGCCGCUGGUCAUCGCUGCUAUCGUGCUGUUGAAGUUAUCGGCAAGUACUUGUUGAGGUAUGAUGGUUCUUAUUUUAUUGUGUCCAUUUGCCUGUGCCUUGCCGAUUUGCUCCAUAAAAUAGUCUGCUCUUUGCCUGGUUGAGGAUGUUCCGCUGUCUUCCUGUUCAGUCAGCAGUUUCUUCAUUUAGUUUAUUUUAUGUCUUGUUAAAAUCGUUCACCUUUUGCCAUCUAGACACGACUAGCUAUUGUAGUGACAUGUAAUAUGUUUCUGGCCAACUUACAGAUUUCUCCCAGUUUGAGUUUGUCAGCUUCUUCAAAGAAAAUGGCCUGUAAGAAUUACUUAUGUAAAACCAGGUUUAGUUUCUAUUUACAUGAUGCUUCUUGUAAUACUUUGGUUGUCUACUUUACUGCUGCAUUUGUUUAAAUUUCUGCGGUUGUCUUUGCCAUUAUUUAUUUAAGCUAGGAAGCUAAUAUAACUUUGUAACCAAUUGUGCCUUUGUGCAGGCUAGCAAACCUGCUAUCAUACAAUUGUAAGUUCAAUUUUUAGAGGCAGACUCAUAAGUAAGAAGGUAUUUUGCUAUAUUUGCUUCUGUAAAUGUUCAUAUAUUUUUAUCACACCACUGGUGUUAGAUGUCUUGAUGAGGAGGUUCUGCAAUGAUAAUUUGGAAUAAGCGAAUCUAGCAUUGUAAUGCUUCAGAUUCUCUUUCGGUAGAGUGGAUGUCAUGUGCUUUGGGUUCGGUAGAGGCUAAAACGUGGUGAACUCGAUUUGUUUACCCUGUGCUAUUAUCCCACUGAAACUGUCUCCCCUCACAGUAUUUGUUUAACAUAGUGAUACCUACUGUAACAUGACCAUGCGUAUUUGUCUAGGCAAGAAGCUUUGUUGUUCUGUUUUUUUUUCCGAAAUUAGCUUCUGCCUUCGCUUACAAAUUUAGCGUUUGCAAGCCAAUUAGUUACCUCAUUCCUUUGUCAAUAUAGAAUUAUGGGGCAGUAUUAGUAGGGUGUUACAGGAAAAAAAAUGCUGCUUCUAGCCUGAUUUAGAUCGCUGUUAUAAUUCUCAUCUAUGCUUGAAUUUCCUAUAUCGAGUGAUUAUGCCUAACCAUAUGAGACUCAGGACAAAAUAAUCAUUCAGUGACAAAGGAAUGAAUCAUGGAUAAUAAAGACAGCUGCUACUCUUUCCUUUUUUUUGGUACAAACACUAACGAAAUACUCACUAGAAAUAUCUUGCAGGUUGCACCUAGCCGUUUGUGUUUUUGUAGUAGGGGAAUGCAUCCCAUAUUUGUAUUACACUGGUUAGAUACAUGAGACUCGGAUUUCGCAAAAAAGAUACAUGAGACUCAGAGCAAGGUAAUACAAUUUCACAGUGAUUUUACAUGAAAAAAUGCUGCUUCUAGCCUGAUUUAGAUCGCUGUUAUAAGUCUCAUCUAUGCUUGGAUGUCCUAUUUGGAGUGAUUAUGCUAAGGCAUGUGAGGGUUUUUGAGUCUUUGUAUAGCCGCUGAGUCAUUUUCUCAAAAUCACGACGGCUCGCAACUAAACAUCGACUUAUGGCGACUGUACAACGACUUUUGUCGACUAAACACUGAGUCACAGGGCUGGUGACUCAGUUUUGAGUCGUGACUCAAAUACCUUAUUCAAAAGUAUGCAUCUAGCCCCUCAUCAAGUGCAAGACCUGCUUCUGCUUUCUCCAUCGAUAAGCCUAAUUCACAUACUGGUUCAGAUCGCCAUCUAUGGUUUGUCCCUUCCUAUUGGUCAUUUUCUCUCUCCAUGCUUUUGAUGUUGGUUUCAGAACUGUCCUAAAUGUUCAAUCUGUAAAUAUCGCUGUCCAUAUGAUGGUUGGAUGAUCAUAACUCACUAUUUGAGAGGUAGAUGGUGUUGCAAUAACUCUAGCCAAAGAAUGGUCAGGCUGGCAUGCAACUAAUAUUUAUACUUGUUCAUAGCAUGAUUUAGCUGCUUUCUUAUACACUACAGAUUUUGUAAUAGGGAACUUUCCUUAUGUUAUGCAUCUUUCCAUGACAAGAACAACUUAAAUAUUCACUUCUGGAAAUUCAGUUACUCUCUUUUCCCGAGUGUUAUAAAUCGAUGCCUACACAAUUGCCUUUCGUGCAUUGCUACAUUCUAGACUGCAAUUUUGUUGGCCUUGGCCAACAAAAGGAUCAGCAAAUGUUGAUGCAUCAAGUGCCUGUCUUUUUUCAUGUUUCAGCCAUUUUUAAUUUCAUGAUUUAAUGACCUGAAUAUUAUUAGGAUAUGAUACACACUCUUCAAUUUUUCUUUGACUAAACAAUUGCUCUGACCUUUUUAUGGAACCAUAAGUCUCCCGCCCAUUCCUUACAUUGCUUGUGAGUUGGCUAUCGAAGGUUUUUUUAUUUAUCCAUAAGGAAUUAUUUGGUUCUUUUAAUUAUUUGGGUUUUAGGACAGUCUCCCGCGCAUCACUUUCUCUUAUGCUGUAAAUUAGCCUAAGCUUCUGUUUAUUCUCCUUUUCCUAAACUGAACUGAUCCUGCUACUCGGUAACAAGGUGGUUCGUUGAUCCACUCCUUAACUGUUUGUGUUGGCUUUCUAUUUUUAUGAGUAAAAUAUGAUGCUGGAGAACACCAGCCGAAACAUAGUGUUUUUGCAGGCUGGUCUGAUGGGCCUCCACAGUGAGGAUGUCAAUUAUGCUAAGAAGAGAUGCAUGAUGUUGUUUGUUUAGGUCGGGUUUCCAUCUGCCACUGUCAUUGUUUACUCGCGUUUCUUCCUCUUUGGCAGGGCAAUGUGGCCACUGUAUCAAGUUGAGAAUCUUCUUCGGCCGACCAGAAAGAAAGGAAAGUAGUUCCAUGCAUGUUCAGUGAUUUUGGGCCAUCUAUGGAAGGUCCCGAUCCAUCUUGGUGCUCCUACACGCUCCUUUCGGUCCUGGCCUCUUUUGCUUUGUAUGUGAGUUAUGCAUAUGCUCAUGUCGAAAUGGUGAUGUGUAAUACACUAUUGAAUUGAAUUGAAGUGAACCUUUUUUAUCCGCAAAACAAAAUCCACAAGGUGCCUUGGUAGGCUCACACAAUCACUUUCAUAUUCUCUAUGUAAAGUACUUGUUUGUGUAAAUGAUUUCUCUAUGAAAAACAGGCUUGGUACCACCAAAUAUCUUCUGAAA